rnacentral:lncRNA from 1 species
GCAGGUGGAGCUGAAGAGCCAAGAGGCUCCGAGUCUGCAGCAGCAGCCAGACCAGUAGCUGGAGCCCCAGUCCCACAAGGAGCUUGGAUGUGCGGACAAGCAGGGUGGUGAGUAGAGCCCUCAGGCGGGGUGGGCAGGCAGGAGCAGGGGAGGCUCGCACUGUGCCCAGAUUCCCACCCCCCUCCCUCUCUCUGAAGAUCUUAGUGGGCUGAGCCUCACUGAUAGCAUGGAGGCUGCACCGGGAGAGGACAGGGAGGGUUCUCCCCCAUGACAACCCCACUGCACAGCAGAUCCAGCAGCUGCUUCCUCUAAUGCAGGACUCCCCAGGAGCACCCAGGCUUGAGUGGAGAAGCUGUUGGUACAGGAGAGGCGGCAGGAGGAGCAGGAGAGGCUGCAUGCCAUUCUUUUCGGGCUGCGGAGAACAGGGAGCUAAACAUCACCAUCAUCUAAGAGCGGGUCAAGGAAUUGAAAAAAAAAAAACAAAACAUUUAAGGGGUUAAUAUCCUACACAAUUCAUUUACUUCAUUUGAAUGUUAGAGCCACUUAUGUUUAUUUGUGUUUCUAAUUUAUAGUUUAAAUUUAUUUGUGUUUCUAAUUUAUAGUUUAAAUUUAUUUGUGUUUCUAAUUUAUAGUUUAAAUUUAUUUGUGUUUCUAAUUUAUAGUUUAAAUUUAUUUGUGUUUCUAAUUUAUAAUUUAAAUUUAUUUGUAAAAAGUUAAAUGAGAGUGGGUGUUUCUCUCAUGUUCACUCUGGCAUCUUUUAGCAUUUUUUUAAUUUGAUAAUUAUAGGACGUUAGCAUGCAUAUCGAGUUUGCCCUUAUGUGGUGGGAGUUCAAACACACAAAGACCCACUGUAUGCACACAACUGUUCUUGCUGGUUUGGGAUAGGCUGCCAUGCUUUUUUAAUGUUAGUACAGCCUGUAUAUUCAUUACGGAAUUCAGAUAAAAUUUCCUUAUGUUCUGCUGUUAUGUUUGAUCGAAUCCUAAUCACAGUGAGCUCUUCAUUAGCUCAAUAUGCAGUUUGCCCUCAAGUGCGCGGUCUAUUACUUUGUAAUAUGCCACUGUGAGUACUGACAUUUACAGUUGUUUAAAGGUGGAGCACUGGAAACAGCCUUUCCCCCUUUUUCUGUGUAUUGGGGAUGGGAGUAAUAACAUUUUGGGGAGGUUUUUAAAUCUCCCAGAAGAGGAAAGUGGCCUGCUUUGGCAGGUGUGUGCAGGAUAGAAUAUGUUUCAUUUGUUUCAGUGCCAAGAAUGAGUGCUGUACUACAGUAGUUCCCUUAGGAUUUGUAUGUGCUCUGGGCUCAUGAAGAUACUGCCUCAUGAGCUGUGGCAGUUGUACUCUUUUUUGAUGACCUGAAAAGGGAUUAUUUCUGAGGAAUGAAAGGCUCCCAUCAUGACUGUGGAUGUGGAAAACCUUUUCUAGCUGAGAGCAUUUAUAUCUACAAUACAUUUUAAAGUCAGAGUUCAUGUUCCCUGUUUUAAUCACAUGACUACAUGUCCCAGUACACAAAAGGGCACUGGUUGGCGUUCUCCUUAAUGUAUUUAGUAAAGAUCAGAAGAAAUCCUUUAAGAGUUUAAAUGCCCCUGGAACAGGCAUAUACAGGCUCUAGUCAAGAAUGAAUUCGAGUGAAGGAAAGCUGUGUGACACCUGGCAUUCCUCUGUGUUCAUGGAGCUUAUUUGAGGCUAGAAGAUGGAUUUUACCAUCUAGACCUCUCUGGCUAAUAGCUAGUCUUCAACCAUCUGACAUAGGAAUUUACUUCUUUUCCUUGAAUGGAGAACACUUUAAAAAUAAUAACAAACAUUAUUAUAAACUAAUAUAUGUGAGAGUACUUAGUUGAAACAAAAAGGAGUUUUAGUAGACAGUAUUAUACUACAUUUGAAAAUCAAGGAGCAGUUUAUGCAACGUAAAAUGUUUACAAACUGCAGCGCAAUCUACUGUUUGUGACUGUCAAAGUGUCAUGAGGAAAGUGUCUAUACAAUCACAGAGUUAUAUUUCCUCACAAAGUUCUUUACGAAGAGUGAAAUAUGUUUUUAUACCUCUCAGUUUCAGUUAGAGGCAUAUUUUGUGUAAUAUUUAUGGCUUAAAAUGGACUAAAGGUCCUGUUCUUGCCUUUUCUGAACUUGCCGCUUUUGCAUUCUUUGAGUUCAGUUUAAAGACACUUACUUUAACUCCAUUUUAAACCCUCGGGCUAGAAAUCGUACCACUGUUAAUUAGCCACGUUAUUUGGUCUAACAGUUUUUGUUUAUCAUUCUGAAACUGAGCUUAUCUAAUACAUUGAUAAAUUAUUUCAAAGGUAUUUUUAUAGUUCAAAUCGCUUCACUUUUACCCUGACACGUAUAAAUGAAUAGGAAUGACCUUCAGAUAGCGUUUAGCAACUGUAACCAAUCUGACAAUAAUGUGUUCAUCAGGUACCUGUGGAUUAAAUCACAUACUGGCAUAUUUAAGAUGAAUGUCAGUCUGAAAAAUAAAUAUACUAUAUUAAUUCAAAUACGACUCUGUGUAGGUAUUUUGUCAUAUGUUUAAGAAAAAGCUAAAGAGAAUGGAAAUCCUAUGACAAUAACUCAAGUCUUUCUUCAAAGUGCAUGCAGUCUUUUGCAGUACCUCAUUCAGCCAAGUAUUUGUUCUCUACCUCAUUCAGUAUAAGGCAGCCUUUAAUUUGCUUAGAAGGCAACAUUAGAAGGUUAGAGUUCAGCAGGAACAUAGAAUUUUAAAAUGUGACUUCAACUGAAUAAAUUUGAAUUUCUGUAGGGAGUAAAGAAUCAAAACACCUAUUUAAAGACUGCAAAAUAUGAUAAUUAUUUUUAAAGUAAUUGAUUAAACCUGGUAGGUUUUCCCAAAAUGAAAAACAAUCAGUUCUAAAACCAAAGCUGAUUUUUAGAAAAUGUGAAAAUGUAAAUCAACCCUAUCCAUAAUAGAUUCUCUAAAACUUUAUCUUACAGUCACUUUCAAAUAACUAUUCAAAAAUGUAACUGCUAUAUUAACGUCUUAAAAUAAUUUAAAACAUUUUAAAAUAUGAAUACUGUAGUUUAAAACAAAGAAUCUAGGGGAAGGAAAAGUAGACAAAGAAAUGCCAAUUCCAGUCCAAAGCUGUAUUUGCCAAGUUUUCUUAGAAUGACUUUUACCGAUUUAUGAAUUCUUAUACACAGAAUGCAUAAUGGAAAUACUGAUUUUUGUCUAAAGUGGCAUUAUUGACUGCUGCUGUGAUGCUACUGUAAUGUAAUACAUUAUUAAAUUGUUUCAAGGUGCUGUUUUGCCUAAAAAUUUUGUGUGUCUUGAAAACUAUAGUAUUGGGUAUUGAGACUCUGCAAAUUCUCGGCAUGCUUGGCAUGAGGUAAUCGGUUUUUAUUCUUACAAAAUUGUAACUAUGUAAGUGUGUUUAUUAAAAGAACACAAACUAAAAAAGUUAACAGGAAUUAAAGUUGUGGGAUGAAAAAGUUACAGGAUAAAAAAAUACUGUGGAAAAGUGGCAAAAAAAAGUUGUGGAAAAAAAGUAAAAAAAAAGUUUUAUGAAAAGUUAUUUUAAAAAGUUAUGAAAAAUUAGUUACAGGAUUUAAAAAAAGUCAUGGGAUAAAAAUAAAAAUAAAUAAAAGCAGGCCCCUGUCAGCAUAAGCCUGGAGAAGUGGGUCUGGAGUCUUCACCCCCACCAUGUCCCUACAACCCCUCCCCAGUCAG